rnacentral:lncRNA from 1 species
GUUUCCGGGAUUUCUCUGUAGGUGAGGCGGGAGGCUGGAGGGAGCUGAGCCCCCGGGGAGGGGGCCCGAUUCCGCCUCGCCGCGCCUCUGGCUGCUGGGCCGUGGGUUUUUCUCUUCUCCUGGGAGUAAGGAGGACGACGGCCCCUAACCCCUGAAUUAGCCUUCUAUUUCCAUUAGUGACUUAGAAGCUACCCGGCGCCUCAUCUGGGCUCACCUGAGCUGAGGAUCAGGAAGGGGAGGGGGCACAGUCAUUCCCUCGCGGACGCGGCGGGACCCCAGCGGACGGCUUUGUGCGGACUUUCGGCACCGUUAUGCCCCCCUAGCCCGACACCACCUGGGGCUGGCGCGCCACGUUACUGUUCAGGGCCAGACGCACCGCCCUGCCUGCUCCGGGGAGCCGGACCUCCGAUCCCGGGGAUGGGGGACCCCGAGACCUCAGACCCAACGGAGGGGACUCUGAUACCUCAGACCCCACGCGGGGACCCCGAGGCUUCAGACCCCCACAGGGUGACCCCGAGAUCUCAGACCCCCGCAGGAGUACCUCCAGACCUCAAAUCCCCAGUAAGGGAAUGAAAGAGACUUCGGAUCCCUGAGGCAGCAAAUCCCUGUAGGGGCAUCCCAGGACUCAGGUCACCGCGGGGUGAACCCAGACCUCACAUUCAGGCAAUCCCCAGGACGCCGAUCGGCUGGCACUACCCACUGUCCCGGCCACCCCCCCUGGAGCUCAAAGGCUUGGCCCUCCAGCUGCUCCACCCUGCCGGCAACCAGGCUCAAACCUGCAGCCCGCGGAUCCCCUGCCCCGGAAGCAACCAGAUUCGCGGGAGGUUACCUGACUGAUCCAAGGCAGUUUCUCACUCCGUUGCCCAGGCUGGAAUGCAGUGGUGUAAUCACAGCUCACUGCAGCCUCAACCUACUGGACUCAAAGGAUAAGAUCUGCUUUUAAUUAAUUUUUGUAUACGGUAUGGGAUAGGGACCAAAGUUCAUUUUUUUGCAUGUAUACAUAUCCAAAUGUUCCAGCAUCAUUUAUUAAAAAGUUAUUUUUGUCUCUACUGCAUUUCCUUUGUGCUUACAUCAAAAUCUGUGUUGCAUAUGUAUGUGUUUCAUUUUAGGCUUCCUAUUGUGUUCCAUUGAGCUAUUUGUCUUUUUGCUGCCAGCACCAUGCUGUUUUGAUUAUUGUAGCUAUAUAAAUAAGUGAUGAAAUCA